UUAAAACCUUCUUCCCUUUUUGCUGAAUUAUUGAAUUGGUAACAUAUUUCUAAGACUAGAGAAGGUUGCUUUAUUUUAUCAGUUAUCAGCUUUGGUCAUGGCUUAUAGUUCCAUUCGAUUUCAGACGAUUACCGUCAGACGACAACCUUGUCCAAACCUGACCCAUCUAGUCCCAUAAAAGUAAGGAUUGAGGUUGACAGCAUUGGAGACAUGAAACUGCACAUCGGUAACCUCCUAAGAGGACGAGCUGUUAUGGAAAACAUGCUCGAUAGGAUGAUCAACAUUUCAUGGAGGCCAGGCUUCGUCGUCGUCCGACCCCUGAUCAAUGAUAUUGUCAGCACUGCAUUCACGGAAAUAUUUAAUCGAGCCUUUGGACAUCUCGACUUCAAUCAAAUCAUUCCCAAUAGUUAAGAAUUAAUAAGUCAUAAAAAAUAUUUAUAGUGGUUAUUGGGGAUAUUAAAAAAAAACAAAAAAACUAUACUUUCAAUCAAAUCAUUCCUAAUAGUUAAGAUUUAAUAAGCCUGAAAAAAAUAUGUUUACAGGUUAUUGGGAGAACAAAAAAACAAACAAAAACCAUACUGUCAAUCAAAUCAUUCCCAAUAGUUAAGAAUUAAUAAGUCAUAAACAAUAUUUACAGUGGUUAUUGGGGUAU